AAGGAAAUAUAGAUGACCGGUGUUAAUUCAACAGAGGUAAUUAUGUUGUGGCCAUAAUCUGAAUUCAAUUAUUUAUCUUCUUUCCUUUUUCUGCU